UGAAAUAAAAAUUAAAGAGUUAGAAAGUUAAAAAGGAUGACGAUUGAGGAAAUCGAAAAAUUGUAAUAUUUGAAAUUCGUGAUGCUUGAUAAUUUAAAUAUUUAGAAAUUGUAAUAUUUGUAAAAUUGGAAAUUUUAAACACUGAAUAUUCUCAGGUUUAGAAGUUGAAGAUUCAAAGUUGAAUCUAUUUGAACAAGGAAAAUUCGAUUGUAAAUAUAUAUAAUUGCAACGCUCUCGCAUAAAAAAAGAAUCGAAAUUCAGACACUGAAUGAAACUUUUAAUCGCGACCGUAUAAACAAGGCGAGUUCUCUCGUGGAAUCAACGAAGUACUCAACUUUAAAGUGAUAACUGAAGAACAACAUUAUUGUAUCGAUAAAAACCAUGCUUUUUUCGCAGAAAUAUGUAACUCAUAUUUUUUUUAAAGCAACACUCACAACGUAUUGAAUAAAAUUAUCAUACACUUUUUUUGUCUAACAUUUGUGAAAUACGAUAUUAUCAAGAUCACCAAGAA
rnacentral:misc_RNA from 1 species